rnacentral:rRNA from 1 species
GACGAACCGUGCAAACGUUAUUCGGAAUCACUGGGCAUAAAGGGCGCGUAGGCGGCUUGACAAGUCAGGGGUGAAAUCCGGCAGCUUAACUGUCGCAGUGCCUUUGAUACUGUCGAGCUCGAGGGAGGUAGGGGUCUGUGGAACUUCCGGUGGAGCGGCGAAAUGCGUUGAUAUCGGAAGGAACGCCGGUGGCGAAAGCGACGGACUGGAUCUCUUCUGACGCUGAGGCGCGAAAGCCAGGGGAGCAAACGGG